rnacentral:rRNA from 1 species
GACGAACCGUGCGAACGUUAUUCGGAAUUACUGGGCGUAAAGAGUGUGUAGGCGGUGCUCUAAGUUCGGUGUGAAAUCUCCCGGCUUAACUGGGAGGGUGCGCCGGAAACUGGAGUGCUCGAGCGUGGGAGAGGAAAGCGGAAUUCCUGGUGUAGCGGUGAAAUGCGUAGAUAUCAGGAGGAACACCUGCGGUGUAGACGGCUUUCUGGACCAUUGCUGACGCUGAGACACGAAAGCGUGGGUAGCAAACAGG